rnacentral:rRNA from 1 species
ACUCCUACGGGAGGCAGCAGUGGGGAAUAUUGCACAAUGGGCGCAAGCCUGAUGCAGCCAUGCCGCGUGUGUGAAGAAGGCCUUCGGGUUGUAAAGCACUUUCAGUCGUGAGGAAGGUAGUGUAGUUAAUAGCCGCAAUUUUAAUUGGUACGUUAGCGACAGAAGAAGCACCGGCUAACUCCGUGCCAGCAGCCGCGGUAAUACGGAGGGUGCGAGCGUUAAUCGGAAUUACUGGGCGUAAAGCGCAUGCAGGUGGUUUGUUAAGUCAGAUGUGAAAGCCCGGGGCUCAACCUCGGAAUUGC